rnacentral:rRNA from 1 species
AUACGUAGGGGGUGAGCGUUGUCCGGAAUGAUUGGGCGUAAAGGGCGCGUAGGCGGCCCGGUAAGUCUGGAGUGAAAGUCCUGCUUUUAAGGUGGGAAUUGCUUUGGAUACUGUCGGGCUUGAGUGCAGGAGAGGUAAGUGGAAUUCCCAGUGUAGCGGUGAAAUGCGUAGAGAUUGGGAGGAACACCAGUGGCGAAGGCGACUUACUGGACUGUAACUGACGCUGAGGCGCGAAAGUGUGGGGAGCAAACAGGAUUAGAUACCCUGGUAGUCCACACUGUAAACGAUGAAUGCUUGGUGUAGGGGGUAUCGACCCCUUCUGUGCCGCAGUUAACACAUUAAGUAUUCCACCUGGGGAGUACGGCCGCAAGGUUGAAACUUAAAGGAAUUGACGGGG